UUUCUAUGGAAGCUUGCUUCCACUGAGAAGAUAGUGGCGAACGGGUGAGUAACACGUGGGUAACCUGCCCAUAAGAGGGGGAUAACAUCCGGAAACGGGUGCUAAUACCGCAUAGUUUUCUUGAUCGCAUGAUCGGGAAAGGAAAGACGGCCUUUGUGCUGUCGCUUAUGGAUGGACCCGCGGCGUAUUAGUUAGUUGGUGAGGUAAUGGCUCACCAAGACGAUGAUACGUAGCCGACCUGAGAGGGUGAUCGGCCACAUUGGGACUGAGACACGGCCCAAACUCCUACGGGAGGCAGCAGUAGGGAAUCUUCCGCAAUGGACGAAAGUCUGACGGAGCAACGCCGCGUGAGUGAAGAAAGGUUUUCGGAUCGUAAAACUCUGUUGUCAGAGAAGAACAAGUUGGAGAGUAACUGCUCCAGCCUUGACGGUAUCUGACCAGAAAGCCACGGCUAACUACGUGCCAGCCGCUGC
rnacentral:rRNA from 1 species